AUAAAUAUUGAAUUCCAUCUGAUAUGAAAGGACCUAAAAUGUUCAAAUUACUCAAUCUAAUAAGCUGAUAUAUACAUGCACAUUUUAUAGUUUAGCUCCUCAUUAUGGUAAAUGCUAAUACUUCUACGUAUAAACUUUUUUUUCGAAGAGAAGAGAGCUUUAUUACUCAGAAAGUGCAUUACAUUCCUGAGCAAAUAGUUGCUCAACACAAGUUGGAGCUAGAAAUCGCCACACUGCCGAAUGCCGAUUUCGUUUUACUAGCUGUGCAAGCUCAUGGGCCACGCCAUAGCUCUCUCUUCUCGUAUGGAUAACUGACCAAUCCGAGAGGCCAUCGCCAGCCUCUCUUUGCUUCUUCUAUGAUGAACUUCACACGUGAUCGAUGCACUCCUUGCAUCAUCAGAGUAGUUUUUAGAGUAGUAUUUUAGGAUAAGUUCAUGAUCCCUUAUGUUUCAGGAUUGAGGUAGUAUGAGGAGACUAGCAAUAGCAUAUGAAGUGAGAGAUGCAAGUAGUUUGCUAGAGUUUGAAAUUGAUUAAAAACCAGUGGUCCAGCCCUUGUACUCUAAGUGACAUGGCUUGAAUCCUGAACUCAUAGCAGCUUACCUGCACGGCAGGAGACCAAACCUCGAAACAAAUUAGAAUCACAAUCCAGCCCCUCUUUUAGAAAAAAAAAGCAAAUAAUUGGGGCUUAUCGUUGUUUCUUUGUGAGAUCUGAUAAUGGAGGGCCAUUGUACGCAACACACUGGCGUGGUGUCUUGUGAUGGUUUUGUGAUGUGCAAUGACCAAAACAUGCUACCAACCCCGAUAAUACAGCCCAACUCCUCGGUUUGGUUGUGUUUGUGUGAUCAAGCGAGACGGUAAUGAAGUAAACUAAAACUAACAUCCUGCAAUUCAUGUAGUUUGCAUCUCCCUCUAAAGUUGUGUCUACGAGCGCUACACAUCAUUGCAAAAAUGCUUGAACUGUUGGGAUUGCAAUCUAGAAACUAGAUUCACCGUAAUCGCAUAAAUCAAAAUUCUCCAUCUUAUACACAUGUAGUCUAAAAAAAAGCCCGCUUGUCGCCUCCGCGUAGGGCGGCACGGGUGGAAGCCCCCUCUGCCGCCGCUGCUCCCUUUCUCCCUCUCCCUGUCACCGCUCCGCCGCCGGAGCUGGUCGCCGGAAGCCCACGUGACCCGCAAGGGCGGCGAUGGGGCCGCCUUUGCUCCUCCCCCUUCGCCUUGCGGGCGCGGCCGCGCAUGGUGUCGGAGGGCACCCCGCGACGGCGCCGGCAAGCCCAAAUUCAGUGUCUCCGCGACCGGAUCCGGCAGCCAUGGUGGCGGAUCUGUGACGGCGGCAGCUCAAGCGCUGUGCCUUCGCCCUCGGCACGCUGCCUGCGGGAGUGCACCUCGCCGGUUGGAGGGGUUGUGCCCCGGGGCCCGCGCUGCCGUUGUCGGACGCAGCGGCGGGCUGCUCCCAGGUGAAAGGAUCCGCCGACGUGCAGGCGCGGGCGCGGUGACACCGUGAGCGCGCGGGCGUAGACGACGAGGAGGUGCCGAGGCAUCCGCGGUGGAGGUGGCCCGGGGCAACGAGGUUGUCGCCCGGGGGCCCUGAGGGCGCGGCGCUCUAGGCGCGGCUACCGCGGCCACGCGCUCCUCGCAGCACGGUGGCGGCCUGAGGAGCUUCGAGCGUGUUUGUGGGACGUUGCGGUGGUGGCCUCGUGCGAGGAGUGGCGGUCAAGUGUUGGCGCAGCUGGCGGUGAGCAAAGUGGAGGUGGAGUUACGGCGGCAUGGUGCAUGGAGGCGCAGCGGUGGCGACGCCCCGAAAGGGCUGUCGUGGCUGCGGUGCGGGAAUAUCGUGCCGUGCGCGUGCAACGAGAGGUUGAGAUACUCCGAGCGAAAGCCCCUGCCGGCGUCCUUGCUGGUGGGAUGACGGCGACGUCCUUGGACGUCAUUUUCCCCGUUGGGGGCGUCAUUCUGGAACAACAACCUUGCUGCACGGGGUUCUCUAGGUGAAAACCCUGUUCAGGUCCUGGACGCGUGACGGCAGCGCCUUUGGCGUCGUCUCUGGAGACCCAGCUUGGUUUGUGGUGUUGCCGGUCCUUUGUCCAUGGCGGCUUCAGCCAGUGUCGAUAAUUCCAUCGCGCGGCAAGCUAGAAGGGUUUUGCCAAGCCCACGUAGAGGCGAUCGUGGUCUCGGUAGCGGCCAGGGGUUGUCACAUGGUUGCCUGUUGGCUGCUUGCAGCGGACCACGUUGGCUGGCGUUGCUUGGCAACGGUCAGUGCGGCAUUGGACUGCGUCGGAGGAUGGCGCUUGCGGCAACGGCAUCGUGGGACGACUAGGCUUGCAGCAGACCGCAGCGGGUUGCACAGCUUGGCUAGGGCCACCCGGUGCGGUGCAGUGUCGGAAGAUGGUGCAAGCGACUUCCUUGGCUUGCUGCUAUGGCGGCGGUGGCUAGUGCAAGGGUGAAGCAACGAGGCAAAGUCGACCUGCGGCGAUGGCUUGGCUGUUUGCUAGAGAUCUCAGGGAGCGGGGCAUCUUUGCUCUGCACCUCGACAACGACAUGCGAAACAGAUUCGGAACGUGGAGUACUAUGGCGGGCGUGACGAGGCCCCGUUCGCAGUGUUUUCUUCGAGGCAACGAUAGAGAGGUGGAGUCCAACGGCGGAUGCGGCGAGGCCUCCGCACAUUGUGUUGUCGUGGUGGCGACCGUGAGGAAACCUGCGAGUGGCCCGGAUCCGGUGUUUUUCAACCCGUCGGGUGGAGUGUGAUGUUGCAGCGGCAUCGAGGCGAAGGAUCCUGAAUGGCGAUGGCCUUCUUGGUGCGGUGGCAUCUGCCUCCUUCGAUUACUAUCAACGCAUGGUCACGCCUGAGGUUUCGACGACUAAAAGAGUGUGGAUUGUGGGUGGGUGCUGCGGUAGUGCUUCGAUUUUGCUCCCGUUGUCGAGUGGAGUGGUGGUUUUGUUGAGUAGAGUUCGAGUGGAGUUGCGUGGCCGUGUUGAUGUUCCACUCCAACCAGCCGGUGUCAUCUUUGCCGUUGUUUGUUUUGCCCAGUCUGGACGUUGUUCCUUCUUUUUAAUAUAAUCAGCAGCUCUUCUGCCUGGUUCGGUUUAAAAAAAAUUCUCCAUCUUUUCGAGCUGGACUCUAACAUAGUAUAUUAUUUAAAAUAUAAAGAUUAAACAUGUGGACAAUUGUAGAUACUCGAUUGUUGUGUUUGCACUCAUACACUACUCAUUUGAUGUCCCACAAAACUCGUUUCUUGCACUUGUAUCUUACUCCGGUGGACCUAAAGGCUCUGGUCGGAACACAUGAUUAUUUUGUAGUUGUUCAUACAAAUAUCAAACUAUGCUAGUAAAAUCUGUCGAUCAGGGACAAGUGCUCCGGAUUUGUUUGAAAGUGAGCUCGAGUUUUCCGUGUCCUUUGAGUUAUGCCAAAAAAAAAGAAUUUUAUUAUUGGCAUUAAGCUUGAGCAAUCAAUUGCAUGUUUGCUCCAGGAAAGGCAAAUAAAGACAGUGGAGCACCAAGCUUAGAUACGCGAUGAAAAUAAAUCAAAAUCCCACCCAAAAACCUCAAUUAAUUUUUGAUUAUUUGGGAAGACACUUAGGCUGGUGCCAAUGGGGGGCGGUACCGCCCCCCUGUCGGCCCGGCUCAGGCGGGAGGCGGGCGGGAGGGAGAGAGAAGGCGGGAUCCAUCCCGCCGGGCGGGAGCGGGCGCUAUCGCCCCGCUCUCGCCCGCGUUGGCAGGCGCGCGGGGGCGGGAGGCGGGUGGGAGCGAGGCGGCGCGCUUGCGUCGGGCGAGAGGGGUAGGACGGAAGUGAUAUGGCACGUUUCUGUUGAUCCACGCGGAGAUUGAAAUAAUUAAAUCUGGAAAAAAAGCUGACGUGGAGGAGAGAGAAGUGAGAGCUAGCACUAUAGCCUGUGCAUUGAAGGGGUGGGAUGAGAACGAGGGUGAGAGCUGACGUGGCGAGGAGCACAACAUGAAUCCCGAUUUUCUCGACGAGAUCCCGAGCUCGCGUACUGGUAAGCGGGGGCGUUUUCCUCGCCUGCCCUUCGCCUUUCUCUCCCUGUGCCCCCUCCCCGCCGCCCCUUUCCCUGCGCCGCCUUUCUGCUCGGGCUCCGGCACCCCUUCCCUCCCCUCGCCUCCCGUGCUCCUCUCUCCGCACCCACCGCCUCCUCCCCUGACCCUAUUGUGCGUCACCGUCCCGAAUCGUGCCGCCCCUUCCUGUCGCGCUCCGGAUCCGCGACGACGCCCCUGCCCGCCUCCUGAGCAGAGCUGUGCCGCACUGGCCACCACCCUAUCUGGAGCUUUUUGCCAAUCCAAACAAAUGGCUUCGCCAGUUUACCAAGCAAAGAAUAGAUUCGCCAGUUUACCACUACAAACGCUGCCACUUGGAUUAUCCAACCACUAGGACCAUUUUAGACCUGACCCCACUUGCCAUAUCCUUCUUCUCCACCUUUCCCCCACCCUCCUACUCUGCGAGCUGGGUGAGCAGGAAGGUGACCUCGUCUCCGGCAGCCACCAUGGAACACACGAGGUGGCGACGCUUGACCUUAUCGGGCACAUGAGCCUCACCUGCUGCUAUGACGAAUCGACCGACCUGCCCCUCUCUCCGUUGUCACUUGUCAUCCCCGACACCGAGCGUCGGUGGCAUGAGCGCGACCUCACGUAGGAGAUGGGGCAUGGGCUACACGAAGGGGUUAGCCGUGGGAAUAGUAUGGCUUUUGCCCACAGCCAUAGAUGACACGGCGGCGCGGCGAGGCGCGGCCACACGGGAGGAGAAGAGGAACAACAGAGGAGGAAGAGGAGUGCGGACGUGAGAGGGGAAAAUAAAAGCGCGUGUGAAUCCCCACUCACCAGCGAGUUGCUCGGCCGCGGGCAAGCUCAAGCGUUGCGGACGAGCUGCGCGGCCGCUGGCACCUCCUCGUCGCGCUCAUCGUCUCGCGUUGGUCUGUACGGAUGGAGAUGGAACAGGGGUGGAGGAGACGAGCGAAAAGGCGUGCCCACAUGUUCAUGCGGCCACCGGCACCAUCUCGACCGUCCAUCUGAUGUGCGGGCCCCACGUCGUGUUUGUUUCAGCCGUAGUGGAGUGUGUUUGCCCUUUUAUGCAGGCAGGCCUGGAGACGAGAGAGAUGAUGGGUAAAAUGGGCAAGUGGCAAGAAAAAUCAAAACGGUUGUGUUUGCAAGGGUAAAUUGGCGAAUCUAUUGUUUGCGAUGGUAAAUGGGCGAAGCGAGUUGUUUGGAGUAGCAAAUUGGCAAAAAUCUCCUCCAUUUAUGGGCGAAAAUAUUUCCAUAACAAAUCUAUUUGUGGCCACACCCCGCACCGGCCACCACCAGGCCAC
rnacentral:lncRNA from 1 species